AACGGCCGUACCAUGCUGAAUAUACCGGUUCUCGUUAGAUCACCGAAGUCAAGCAUCAUUGGGCGCGGUCAGUACUUGGGUGGGUUACCACCUGGGAACACCGCGUGCCGUU
rnacentral:rRNA from 1 species